rnacentral:lncRNA from 1 species
CCAUAGGCAAACAUUUGGAUACCAUUGUUACCAAGAGAGACAGCAGCAAGCUCAAGGUUUCCAAGGUGACCACAAAAGAUCUGAGUAGACAUGGAAACAACAUUAUUGAGCAAGUAAACUAUCACAGCUGGAGCUGCAAGGUGGAAAAGCAAUUUCAGUUCAACCCAGGAAGCUGAACGGAUUCUCUUAAAAUAUGGUGCUUCAGUAUCUGUUAGUAUUUGUUCAAGCUCAUCGCCCACUGUCUCAUCAUCAUGGUAAGAGAGUUUAAAGUCUAAUCUCGGAGGAUCAGUCUCCAUUAAUUUUCCUCUUCUAUUGAUCUUGUAAUUUGAGCUUCUGUAUCAAAUAAAUGCUUUGUCUUCAACAACAUAGCAUAGCUAUAGUAAUUAUAUCAUAAAGUUUAUAUGAGGAAGAUACCUGCAAACUCUCGAUCGGAUUCCUUUUUUCCACAUGACGUGGUCAACUUAUUACAAAAACAAUAAAAAACAGUGUGGUUAAUUUAGUUGAUAUUUUCGUCGCAUGUCCAUCAUCACACCAUUAUUUUUUCGAUCAGGCUUCAAGUUGUCGGGCUGAAUUGUUUUUUUUUAUAUAUAUAAAAUAAUAUUAAAAUAUUUAAAUGAGAUUAAAAAACAUAAAAAAAUAUUUAGGACAAAUAUAUAAUAACGCUGAUUAGAGUAUCUUUCCGAUUCAUAUUCAUUAUGUGAUUAGAAUAACUUUAUAAAAUAAAAAAUACAUAUAUUAUAAAGCCUUAAAAAUAUAUAUAUAAUUUUUUAAAUUUGUGAUCCGAGUAAUUAAACUUAAUUCAUCUAAUUUAGAAAAAUUACAAAUUCUAAUUCCUAAUAAAGAAAAUAUUAAAUGAUAAAAUUGAAAAAAAAUUAAUCUUAUUACAAAAGGAUUGAAAAAAUAGUAAUUCAAAAAAUAAAGAUUAAAAUCAUUAUUAUACUUAUUAUUAUUAAGUAAUAUCAUCAUUAUGAUUAUUAAAGUUACUGCCAUACAUUAUUACCAUACAUUAUUAUUAUUAUUAUUAUUAUCAUUACUACUACUACUACUACUCUACUACUAUUAUUAAAAAAAUAAAAACCAUAAACUUGAUUUGAAGAAUAGAAUUGAAAACUAUAAAAAUUUUAACAAAGAGGCCAAGAAACAAAAACAGAAAUCAAAAGAAAGUGGAUCAAAUUAAAAUUAUUAGUAUUAUCAUUAAAAAAAAUAAAAAAUCAUAAACUUGAUUUGAAGGGUAAAAAAAUAAAUAAGAAAAAUAAAGCAAAAGUACCGAAUCGAAACAUAUUAUUUAUACAAAUUAGAAAUCAAUGGUUAAAUUGAAAAUAAAUAAACCUUUAACCAAAAAAAAAUAACAAAAGUACUAAAAUUAAAACUAAAAUUAUUGAAUCUGAAAUACCAAUAACAAUGAGGACAAUAGUGCUUUUUUUGGGUUAGAAAAGAGAAACAAAGAGAGGAAAAAGAAGGGGUCGCCGACGAUAAAUCAGCAUAUUUUGACUACACGUGCCACCUAUUAUGGAAGAGGAGACGGCGAGGAAUAAAUAAUAUGGAGAAAACCCAUUUUUUUUCCACUGGCAGCUGACACACGCGUCGUCCAAAGUACGCGGCAGCUCCCACACGCCAGCAGUUUUUUCCUAUUAAAAAAUAUUAUUUUAAUAUUAAAUUACAUCAUUAUCCUCAACCAAACCAACAAUUAACAAAAAAAAAAAAAAAAAACCAAGACUAGACCAUAAUAUCACUAACCCUAAUGAAUUAAAUUUAUUUGAUCUAAGAGUACAUGUAUAAUCCUAUUGUGUAUAAAAAGAUAAAAAUACCUAAAUACCGCUACUAGAAACAAUUGAUUUUUUUUAUACUUGGAUAUGUUUUUGGUUAUUUUACUGUUUAUUUAAAUAUUAAAUUAAUAAAAAAACCCUUAAAAAAAUCAAUAAUAUCUAAUGCACCAUCUAAAAAUACCAAAAUACUCUUAGAUAAAAUCAAAGGCACUCAAUUUUCUAUGCCAAACCAUAAAGAAUCACAGUGAAUAAUGAGUUGUCUAUCGUUACGGGGAAAUCACAUUCCCUUUUUAGAAUAUUUGUUAUAUUAAUUGGGCCGUGCAACUCGUGAAUUCAUAAACAAGAUUAACAAAUAUAUUUAUUUAUAUUCUCAUGAAUAAAACAAAUCACGUUAAAAUGGUUGCGCGGAGAUGUUUACCCUUUGAAUAACAUCAUGGGAAGUUCUAUAGGAUCAUGUUUAGUACACAGUGCAGCAGCACGAUCGAUGCAAAUAAAUAGUAUGAAAGGUGAAAAAUGCAAUAUUAAACUAUAAAUUGAUAGUAUAAAAUUGUCACCUCGAAAUAUAUAUAUAUAUAUAUAUAUAUAUAUAUAUAUUGACACAGAGUAUAGUGUGAUAAAGAUUUAGGUUCUCAGUAUUAGAGGUUACAGUCUUAAACGGUACAACAAUUAAAUAAAUGAAAAUUAUAAUAUUUGUUAAAAAGUCCUUGAAUUAAUUAAUUUGAUAAAAAAAAAUAGCAUACCAACUAUUUAAAAAAACUGAUGUAUUCAAAAGAAUUUGAAGUUAAGAAAAAUAAUUAAAAUCCAAAAUUAACUAAAAAGAUAAUUAUUUAAAAAAAACAUGAUUUCUAGAUCUAAAUUAAAGACCUUCAUGACCUCAACUAAUUACUGUUAGAUCCAUUUUCUGCUCAAACUCCUGAUUAAAUUUGAGUUUCAUCUAAUCUAAUGAUUAGAUCUAAAGUUAUAGAUGUUUUUUUUUAAAAUAGAAAUGAAUGAGAAACAAAUAAUGAAAUCUAAUCCCCAACAAAUUCAAUAUUGAAGAAUGUAAUUAGAAAAAAAUCAACUGUAGAAAAAGACCUAAGAAAAAGAGAUAAGUCAAUCCGAGCUAACCUUCUAAAUACAUGACCCGGGUUUUAAAUUCGAGAUUGCACAUAGAAGGCAAACUCAAAAAAAUUAUGAAUCCAAAUAAAAUAUCAUGAAACAAGCAUCUCGUGCUUAUAUUUAAUUAAACAAUUUAAUAUAAUUCACGAAAAAAAUAUCUUUUUAAAAAAGCUUAAUUUAACAAAGAAUGAUAAAUAAAAAAACCUGAGAUAAUCCGGGUUAUUUUUAAAAUUAUCAAAAAAAUUAUAGAAAGCAAGUUAAAAUACAGAAGAAUGAAAUUGGGUCAAAAUGAUUAAAAAAAAAGAAACUCAAGUCAACCCAAAUUGACAUGACAAACCUUUAACCCAAGUAAUAAGAGUGGGAUAACUUAAUAAAAAGCAAAUAGAAAAACAAAUAACAAAACUCAAUUCCCAACAAACCAAUUGUUGAAUGAUGAAACUGGAAAGAAAUCAACAAAAAAAAGGAACCUAAAAAAUCAAAACCAAGUAAGACAACUAACCUCGUGACCCGAAUCAUGCUAAUAGAAUAACCCAAUAAAAUCCAAAACAUAAAAAAUUUUGAAGAUUAAUUUAUAAAAGAACUGGAUUUUGAAGGAUUAAAAAAAUAAAGUUUCAUUUAACAAAAAAAAUGGUCGCAUAAAAAUGUCAAAGCCAAACCAGGUUAAUUUGUCAAACUCGUAGCCUAAGUUAUGAUAUCGGGAUAACCCGAUAUAAAAGAAAAUAGAGAAAAUCACAAAGCUCGUUUUUUUAUAUAAAAAAAAAUAAUGUCGAAUGAUAAAAUCAAAAAAAAAAAUAAGUCUACAAAAACAAUGUUAACUAGCAUUAACUUCUCAAACUCAUGACCCAGGUCAUUAGAGCAGAAGCACCUCAUUUGAAAAAACCAUGAAACACAAUUCUCAACCAAUCAAGUGUUGAAGAUGAAAUUGAAAAAAAAAUAUAAAAACGGAUCCAAAACCCAAAAAAAUAACAAUUAAAAAAUGAGCAUCAAAAUUGAAAUAAAAAAAUAGAGGACAACUAAUUAAUAAUUUUUUUAUUAAAUGAUGAAAUUGAAAAGAAAAAUCAAUUUAAUAAAAAGACCAAAAACAACAAUCAAAUGAAUGAAAAUAUUUGAAAAACAUAUAUAUUAUAAAUAAAGAUUAAAGGAUGAAAUUGAAAAUACAUCAAAAUUUUAUAAAAGGUUCAAAAAAAUAAAUAAAAAAUCAAUGGAAUAAAAACUGAAGUUGAAUUAAAUAUCAAUAAAUAAAAGAGCAAUUUUAAAAUUUAGAAUGGUCUAUAGAAGAUGUAAGAACUCAGAAGCUUACAGUGUAAUAUUUCAACAUAAUUGUAUUGAUGCUUAGCCUAUUGUUUUAUACUCAAAUUACAUAUUCUUGUAAGGAAAGAUUACAGCAAUCAAAAAUAGUUAUGGACAUAAUAUUUGUAUUAAUUCACAAGCAUGAUUGUAGGCUUAGUUACUGCUGCAAAUCAUCUGCGGAUUUCUUGCAUCUGCAGAUUUCUUGCAUCUUCCUUAAUAUGCCCCCGCAAAAUUGAACUUCCAUCGGCAAGUCCAAUUUUGGAGCGUAAAAAUUCAGUGCGCGCCCGAGACAGUGGCUUGGUUAAUAAGUCAGCAAGUUGAUCUUGAGUGUGGACGUGUUUCACAUGGAAAGUACCCUUCUGAACUUGAUCACGCACAAAGUGAAGAUCAAUUUGGAUGUGCUUCAUUUUGGAGUGGUGAACCGGAUUAAAACUAAGAUGAGUUGCACCAAGAUUAUCACACAGUAGAGAAGGUGGCACUGUCAAUGGAAAUCCAAGUUCAUGAAGGAGUGCAAGGAGCCACAAUGUUUCUGAAGCACCAUUAGCAAGCGCGCGAUAUUCAGCUUCCGUAGAGGAUCGAGCAACAGCCCUUUGUUUUGUUGAGCGCCAGGAUAUAGGAUUGCAUCCAAGAAAAGUAAUGUAGGCCGAGGUGGACGUGCGAUCAUCAAUGUUGCCAGCCCAGUCAGCAUCACUGUAAGUUAUUAAACAAGGGGCAGCAGCUUUCCUAAUAUGGAUACCAUGAAAUAUUGUUUGCUUGAGAUAGCGAAGAAGUCUCUUGGUGGCUGCCCAAUGAGUGACCGUUGGCUUGUGCAUAAAUUGAGAAAGCUUGUUUACUGCAAAACAAAUGUCUGGACGAGUUAGGGAGAGGUAUUGCAGUCUACCAAUGAUGCGCCUGUACUCAGUGCUGUCCACUGAUGUUGUGCCAUCUAGCAGAUGAAGGGAUUGAGUAGUGGACAAUGGGGUAGAAAUCUCCUUGGCACCAGCCAUGUGUUGAUUCUCCAACAUGUCCCGGAUAUACUUGUGCUGGGAGAGAAAUAAACCGGCAGUGGUGGGAAUGACUUCAACUCCUAAGAAGUAGUGAAGUGAGCCCAUAUCUUUUACAGAGAACCGAGCACCAAGUGUGUUCACAACAUGACCUACAAACUGAUUAUCACUGCCUGUAAUCAUCAACAUAAACAAGCACAUAACAGAUAAGGGAGUCAUGACGAUAAAUAAACAAUGAGGAGUCAGCUGUAGAAAUCUGGAACCCGAUUUGCAGAAGGGAAUCCCGCAAGGCUGAGUACCACGCCCUAGGAGCCUGCUUGAGACCAUAGAUGGCUUUCCUUAAUCUGCAUACAUAAUGGGGUUUGGACAAAUCCUUGAAACCCGGAGGCUGCAUCAUAUAAACAGUUUCAGACAACAUGCCAUGUAAAAAGGCGUUAUUGACAUCCAUUUGUCUCAAGGGCCACCCAUUCAUAACAGCAAUAUUCAGCACUGUUCUAAUGGUUGCUGGUUUAACAACCGGGCUAAAGGUUUCGUUAUAAUCAACUCCAGGACACUGAUUAUAACCCUUUGCAACAAGUCGGGCUUUGAAUUUAUCAACCGAGCCAUCGGCCUUCCGUUUUAUGCGGAAUACCCACUUACAACCCACGGGGUUGCAGUCUUUGAGAGGUGGAAUUAAAUCCCAUGUACCAUGGCUCAUGAGAGCUGUUAAUUCACUGGACAUGGCUGCACGCCAUUCAGGGUGAGAUACAGCUUGGCUUACACAGGUUGGUUCCAGGAAAGGCGGAAGGGAAUGCUUGGACACAGUGUUUAAUUGUUUAGGUUUGAAAAUAUUAUUCAUCGAUCGAGUGGUCAUGGAGUGAUUACGGGAUGGAAUGUUGGUAAUUUGUGCGGGACAUGGCAGGGGGGAAGUAGAUGCAGGGGAGGUAGAUGCAGGAGAAACAUGUAAAUCAGAAUGGAGAUGCUCAUGAUGCAGAUUAGCAUUUGAUUCAGAAAUAGCAGGGGAGAGAGGGGGGGUAAUACCUGAAGAGGACGCAGAGGAGGCAGCAACAGUGUCCAAACUCGUUGAUGGCUCCAAUGGUGGAGUGGAAGUCGACGAAGAUGACGCAGGAACGAGAGGAGCAAGGGAAGGGAUUACAGGACAUGAAUUUAGUUUGAGGAACAAAUGGGUGUGGUUAGGCAGACGGGUGGAUGAUAGCUGAUCGGGUGGAUUUGUUUUUGAAACUGGACAAUUUGUUUCAUCAAACAGUACAUGUUUGGACACAUAAAUUCUAGAACUUAAGGGGUCGAUACAUUUAUAGGCACUUUGGGUUGGUGAGUAUCCUAUAAAGACACAUGGAAUGGACUUAGGCUGGAACUUAUGGGUGUUGUAUGGCUUAGUGAGAGGGUAGCAUAAACAUCCAAAUUUCCGUAAUUUGAGGUAAUUUGGUUGUUGACGGAAAAGAACUUCAAAUGGGGACUUGUUUUGAAGGAGAGGAGUGGGUUGACGAUUUAUGAGGUAAGUAGCAGUUUGAAAUGCAUGAGGCCAAUAAGACAGUGAUAAGGAGGCAUCAUGAAGCAGGGUAAGACCUGUCUCGACAAGAUGGCGAUGACGCCUUUCAGUAACACCAUUUUGUUGGGGAGUGUGGGGAGCAGUAGUGUAAUGACUUAUUCCAUGAUUGGACAAGUAAGUUUUCAAACCGAGAAAUUCUCCACCAUUAUCGGAGUACAAAGCUUUAAUGGUGGACUUAAAUCUUUUUUCCACCAGCAUUUUGAAUUGGGGAAAAAUGCUAGAAACCUGAGAUUUUGUAGACAUUGGAUAAAACCACAUAUAUUUGGUAUAAUGAUCCACAAAAAGAAGAUAAUAGCGUGCACCGCAAAUCCCAGUAAUUUGAGCAGGACCCCAAACAUCAGUAUAUAUAAUGUCAAGUGGAGAUUGACUUUGAAAACUUGUAGAACCAAAAGGAUGUUUAUGCGCUUUAUUUGUGGAACAAGAGGUACAUAACGAUGAGAAUGUUUUUGUGGAAACAGGAAGGGAUAAUUUGUUGACAAGAUGUUGAACAAUUUUAAUCGAAGGGUGUCCAAGACGUUUGUGCCACCCAUCAAGUGAAGUCCGUUCAUGCACAUAAGCAACUUUUUUUGGAGUGGGAGAAGCCACCAAGGAGUUUGGAAACAUAUAGACGCCAUUCUCACACGCACCUCUUAGAAGUAUUGCCCCCGUGGUUUUGUCCUUCACAAGAAAAAAAAAUGGAUAAAGUUCAAGAAAAACAUUAUUAUGUUUGGUGAAGUGAUGAACUGAAAUGAGAUUCUUGUGAAUAUGAGGAACACAUAAAGUAUCAUGUAAAUGAAAAGUUUUGGUAGGUGUGGGUAAAGCUAAAGAACCAAUAUGUGUAACUGCCAAACCUGUACCAUCACCAAGAAGAACCUCAUCAGUGCCGUCAUAUUCAGAAUGAAUAGAUAAGUUUUGGAGAUCACCCGUGAUGUUAUGAGAGGCUGCAGAGUCAAUUAACCAUUUUUUAUCUUGAGUAUCGGAGGAUCCAGCACAAUUAGCCGUCAUUGUAGAGGAUUGGAGUUUCGGGCAGAUCUUGGCUGUGUGACCCAAUUGAUCACAAUAUUGACAUUUAGGCUGGAAGCGCCGGUUUGAGUUGGAGCGGCCCGAAUUAUUAUUUCGCUGGCGGUCUCUAAAGGAGCCAUUUGAGGGGCGGUGUUGUCCUGAUUGGUGAAAAGAGCCAUUUCCUCUGUAGCUUCCUCUGGUUUGCUGAGAUACAGAGAAGGCGGUGUCCUUGUUGGCAAAUCGGUGGCUGGUAAAAUUUACAGCAGCCACGAGCUGCUGUGUAGCAGCCUCCAUCCUUCUCAAGUAACUUUCAUGCCCAACAAGCAUGUCAUGGAGUUCUUCAAAAACAAGGGAUUUUUCUCGUGCUCGAAUAGGAGCAGCAAUUUCACGAAAUUCUGGACCUAACCCAUGGAGGACAUAGAGGGUUAAGUCAUCAUCAGAGAUGGGGUGGUUAAUAAGUGCAAUUUCAUCAGCCAAGCUUUUGACCAUAUGAAGAUACUCUGAAAUCGGUCGAUUUCCACGCUGAAUCAAGGUUAGUUCUUCCUUGAGUUGCAUUGCCCUUGUACGCGAUUUACUUGCAUACAGUGUCGAUAAUUUUUUCCAUGCCUCGUGUGAGGUUUUGGUUGUGGCAAUGAGAGGUGUGAUUGAGGGUGAAGUGGAUGCAAGGAUGGCGCUAAGAAUUAGCUUAUCUUGCCUUACCCACCGGUUUUUUGUAGCUGUUGACUGUGGAGUACCAUCUGAGAGAGGGCACUGAGAUUCUCCAUUAACAUAGUCUAGGAGAUCAUAGCCGAUGAGGAGAGCCUCAAACUGUGCUCUCCAUUGAGGAAAAGAUGAGGGUGUGAGUUUCUCAUUGAUUUGAGUAGUGAUGUUGAAAAACACAAGGGAAAGUUCUGGAGAGGAGGUAGGCUGAUUUGUGAAAGACAUGGGGAUCAAAUUCUCGUUAGAGAGAUGAUGCUCUGAUACCAUAUAGAAGAUGUAAGAACUCAGAAGCUUACAGUGUAAUAUUUCAACAUAAUUGUAUUGAUGCUUAGCCUAUUGUUUUAUACUGAAAUUACAUAUUCUUGUAAGGAAAGAUUACAGCAAUCAAAAAUAGUUAUGGACAGAAUAUUUGUAUUAAUUCACAAGCAUGAUUGUAGGCUUAGUUACUGCUGCAAAUCAUCUGCGGAUUUCUUGCAUCUGCGGAUUUCUUGCAUCUUCCUUAAUAUGGUCAACUUGAAUUUUAAAAGGAAAAGAGAGAAAAAAAAAACACAUCCUGCGAUAAAUCAUCUCACCACCAAAACCAUGCACCAUCAUGGAAAAAAAAAAGAAAUUGCAGAUUCCAAUGACAUGUUAGAAGGAAAUUCUUGGCAGCCAAAAGAUGUAGCAUGCUCCACGAUGUCCCCCACUUUCGAGUAUAUGUUGCCACUUUUAUCUUUUUAAUUAUAUUUUAUAUUUAUUAAAAUAUAAAAUCAUUCAUUAACUAACUUGAUUAUAAUUAAAAAAUCAAAAUAAAAUAUAAAAGAUUCUUUGGAAGCCAAUUAAAAAAAAUAUGCUUUCAAAGGUAUUUUAUGAUUUCACUAUAUUUUUAAAAUAUAAAAAAAACUUAUUUAUUCAUAAUUAACCUGGUAAUAAUCAAUGAACUUUGCAAAAAGGUCAUAUAAUCCUCAAUUGUUAGUUCAUUGUUUUUUUCUUAUCCUGAAUAUUUUGAAAAUUUUUAUGAUAAAAUUAAUAAUCAAUUUUUAAAAUGAGGAAAAAAAAAACAGGCCGAAAGGAGGAUAAUUUCCAUGUGCAAUCUCAGUUUCAAUUACAUUGCACAUUUCAAAGAUCUCAUAAAUAGGAUUCAUAAACAAGAUUAACAAAUAUAUUUAAUUUACACUCUACAUUAGUUCGACGGGAAUAAAAUAAUUUGAUUUGAAUAAAAUACUUGUCUAAUUAGGUGGAGACUCAUAAAUAAAAUAUUACCAAUCACGUUACCCUUUGAGUUUUUCCAGAUUUGCAUUAUGGUCAAGAAGCACAUGAUGGGGAUUAUUUUAUAGGAUCCUGUUUUGUAAACGGUGCAGCAGCACGAUGCCAAUAAAUAAUGUGAAAGGUGGAAUACACGCGCAUAUAAUUACAAAAAUGCAGUAUAAAACUAUAAAAUUGUUUAAAAAAAUAAAGAUUAAGUGCAUGUUCAGAAUAAAAAAUUAAAGGAUAAAUUCAUAUAUUUUUAUAUAUUUAAAAUACAACGCAAGUUGUCUAUUUAUAAAAAAAUUAUUAUUUGAAUGACGUUGCAGCCACUUCAACUCUAAACAAAUCUUCUGUAAAAAACAAGCAAGAUGAAGAUUUCAAAGAUAUAAAUAUAGAUUGUAUAAUAUUUCCUUUUAAAUGAUCAUGUAUUAAAAAUAUAUUUCAUUAAAAUCUUGUAAAAGAUUAAAGAAAAUUUAACAAGAAAAAAACUCGAAUGUGUUUACUUUUUUUUUUAGAUUAAUGUGGUAUUUGGGCUAUUUUACGCGCAUCUCGACUAAUCCCAUGAACCCUGAAGUUAACGACUAUAUAAGUCUCCAGUAGUCGUGAGAUUUAUGAGACUUGAACUAAUAAUCUAUAAAAAACAAAUUUAGAAUCUGACUAAUUAAGAUAGACUCCUCGUAAUUAUAUUUAUUUUAUUAUUAUUAUUUGAAUGACGUUGCAGCCACUUCAACUCUUAACAAAUCUUCUGUAAAUAACAAGCAAGAUGAAGAUUUCAAAGAUCUCAGAUUCUCUCUCCUUUCUUUUUCUAAUGUACUACCAUCUUUCCAAUAAAUAAUAAGCCAAGGCUAAAUCUAAUCAUUCAAAGCUCAAAUUAAUCACUAAGCUUUCUCCUAUAUAUAUUUUGAUGGCGUCAACCGCAGAAAGAAGCAGAUAACAACAACACUAGAAUUUCUGGUUCAGUCUCUCCUUUCACAAUUGAGAAAGGAUCUCCUUCCUCGAUCCAGUCUUUAUGGGAACUUUCAUUUGGCCACUCGACACUUCUCCAAAUCAAGUCUAUUUAUCCUACAUCUAAACAAUGUAUUAUGACGGUUUAAAAAAAUAUAUAUAUACACAAGUUUUGAAAAACACAAUAAUUAAUUAAUAAACUUUGUUUUUUAAUACUAAUUUCAACUCACAAUAUAAAAUAUAACAAACAUGCACUAAUUUGACAAAAGAAAAAAAUAAGAGUGAGAUUGAAGGGGCCAAGAGCCAUUGAAACAGCAAUAAACUCCUUAACAUAUAAUCGGGGCAUGCAGGGCAUGAGGAUCCAUACAAGAUCAAUAUCCAUUAGAAAUAAUUAAUUGAAGUUGAUCGCAUUCUUAUCAUCAUGCGUUAAUUUGUCUUGUGUGCCAAUCCCAAUUAUUGGAUUACAAUAAUCUCUUUCAAACGUAUGAUCCAUUCACUUCUGUAGAAGAGGCUCACUUUUGUCAUCCCAUGUACUUAGCCGAUUUUUGGCACCCUCCACCUGAAAAUUACGCGACAUAAUAAUAUAUAAUAAUAAAAAUGCUUGCGUAAUCCAAACACACACACACACAUAACCAAGGAGAGUGGCUUUUGUUUGAUUAGAGUGGUAAUUAAGAGGGAGACUAACAUAAUUAACAUUAUCAGAUGUUAAUUAGUGUGUACGUACCUCUUUAUUCCAAUCUGUUCUCCAAGUGACCCCCAGCAAAAUCAAAGUUUGCAGGACUGUGCCCCCCAACAUGCCUGACCAUAUACCCUGUAGAAAACAAUAACUAUAUAACAACCAUUCAUGAUAAAAAUCUCUACCACACUAUUUAGAACCCUCUUAAUUAAUUUUAAUUGUGAGUUUUAAUAUAAAAAUAUAUAUAUAUAUUUAUAAUCAUUUUAAAUGGACGUCAAUCUCUAUAAAUCAGAUAUAAUUCAUUUGAUUUACUACACUGAGAAGAAAAAAAUGAUGAAUGCGAUAGUUUUGUACCUUGGCACCAAGGUCAAAUGUAAAACCAAGAAGCACCCCUAGCGGAAUACCAAUAAGGUAGUAGCAUCCUACGUUAACAUAUGCAACAAAUGCUUGCCAUCCACAUCCAACAGCCACCCCUUCAGCAGGCACAAAAUUGAAGGAAACAGUUAGAUUUGAGAACAUAUGUACUUAUAUAUCAUAAUGAAGACCACAUGAAGUUCCAUCUUCGACGACAGAACAGUACUUAAGCUUUGCUGUAAUUAAUGACAACCAUUGAUGUUUCCCUUCUUCUUUCCUCGAUUUUGUCAACAUUCCAAUGCUACCUCCCUUGGCUUCGGAAUUAUGCAAUUACUUGUCUUAUGAAGACAUAAAAUUAAGAUUUUUUUCCCCUGAGAGACACUUUGUUGCAAUGACAAGAGGCAACAGCAAAGGUUUUAAUUCCGGUACACAAUGAUUGAGGCCAGAGCCUGCCGCCUUUGGUACUUUACUGUUUUUUUUUUAAUUACUGAAUGAAAAUUAGAAUAUCACUUGUUUAAUAAUUAUUAUGAUUAAAAAAACACCUCCCAUUAAUAUUUCACUCCUAUAUAUUCAGUCAUUUUGCAGUAAAUUAUCUGUGCUUGGUAUCGCUAACCCUCAAGAGUGAUGUAUUACAGCACAAUUGCUAAACUAAAUUAGUAACUGCAGAAUUUAUUAGAGAAGAUGGCAGCUAUCAAAGAAGCUAUUGAGGAAUAUUUAACUGCGAUUCAAUUAUUAUUUUAACUGUUUUUAAUUUCAAAAAACAUCAAAUUUAGAUUUUGGGUAUUUUUAGAUGAUUUUUAUAUAUUAAUAUAAAAAUUUAAAAAAUAUUAUUUCAAUAUAUUUCUAAAUAAAAAAACACUAUCCACAGUACAACACUUACCGGAUAGUACAGGCUGAACACCGUUUAGUAUGAGAGUGACAGCAAGGAAUGGAGAGAGGUCAGAGGCAGCUUUAGCAACAACUUCACCUUCUGUGAAGAUAUAGCUAAUGGAAUCUCGAAAUAUCAGCACAAUAAUGGCUGCGAUUACUGAAACUACAAAUGAGCAUGAAGUCACCACAAGGACUGAAAAUGACGCUGAUUUUGGAUGUCCUGCUCCUAGCUCAUUGCUCACUCUCACACUGUUUAAGACCAAGUAUAUGUUAAUUGCCUAUCUUCAUGUAAAUAAUGGUGCUCCUAUAUAUGUAUGUAAAAUCGCAAUUCCCCUACAUGUUGUACACUGACUUUAGGACAAUAUCAUGGUGUGUUGAAAAUUAUAUCUGCGAGCGUCCAUACAUAAGCAGAUGAGAAACAUAAUAAUUUCAAACCAGUUAACCUAUUUAUUGACAAGACAUCAUGAUGUCCUACUGUUUUUUAAACAACUGUAAUAAUUGAUGGGUGUACGAAGUUUCAUGGAUGGAACAAUUAUGGGAUUAGUUGAUAGAUAUAGAUUGUUUUACAUCUAUAUCAAUUAUUCCAAUAAUUGUUUUAUUCUAUAUAAGUUUUUCCAAUUAUAGUAAUUAAUCAAACAAAAAAUAUAGAGCCUGAAAGAUCAACAAACCUUGCAGCAGCAUUAAAUCCAACUGAAAUCAUGAAAACCCAUCCAGAUAUUGUCAUGCUGCAUUAAAGAAGAGAGGAAUGAAUAGUGUUCACAAGAAGUCCAUAGUACUGUUAGCAAGAUCGACAUUGUCAAGCACCAUACCUUUUCCUUGAAUUUCUUUUCUUGAAAGUAGCAAGAAAUAAAAUAUUCCGAAAGAACCAAGUCUAGUUAAUUACUUACCAAACUGAGAGUGAGUCUAAUGCAACCUCAGCAUUUUCAAGCAAUCCAGCAAUCAGGACUAAAAUCUGAAAGUACCACGUCUCUAAACAUAACAUUACUGCUGAUGCAGCAGACAGUCUGAAGAAGCUCCAAAGCCCACUAAAGGCCUUCACGCUAAAACUUUUCCAUGUGUUUCUACACUUCUUGCUCAUUACAAUGUACACAAACUGAGCCACCACAAUGAUCCACCAAGAUAAACUCAACACAAGACCUGCUCCUAGUAAGCCCCAGUUCCAUUUGAAGACUGCAAGCCAGGUGAGCAAAACAUGCACCACAAGUGCACCUAGUGAUAUGUACGCACUAGGUGCGAUUAUGCUUUGUGCUUGCAAGAAUUUUUGAAUAGGAAAGUUGGCAGCAUAAGCGAAAAUUUGAGGGAUGAGUCCAAAGACAAAAACUGCAGCUGCUGAUGCUAUAUUGACUGGCUCCCCAAGUAAGAUCAAGAUAGGUUUGGAAAAUAUAUAGAUCAUCAUUAAGGGGAUCCCAGCUGCCAUGAGGAGAACAGUUGAUCUUUGGAGGUAUAUGCCUAGCAUUUCAUGUCUAUUUGCUCCAUAUGCUUGGCCACACAGAGUUUCUACUGCACUUCCCAUACCAAGCUGCAACAAGAAAAAAACUUAUUUAGCAAAAGUAGAGGAGAAUUCUCCACUUGAUAUAGAAAGAAAAAACAAGAAGUAUAAAGAAAGACAAACCGAUGGAGGAUUAUGCAUGAAGUUCUUUACACUACUUCCAAAUAUCCUAACUAAAGCUUAAAAGGGUAAAAAGGAAAGGAAUAAACAAAAGAGAGAGAAGAGAAGAAAAGAGAAUGAUCAUGACCAUUCAUUACAUGUGCAAGAGCAGAUAGAGAUCAGGAGGUAUUAAUUACCAUAAGGCCAUAGGCAAAAACUUGGAUGCCAGUGUUACCAAGAGAGACAGCAGCAAGCUCAAGAUUUCCAAGGUGACCGCAAAAGAUCUGAGUAGACAUGGAAACAACGUUAUUGAGCAAGUAAACUAUCACAGCUGGAGCUGCAAGGUGGAAAAGCAAUUUCAGUUCAACCCAAGAAGCUGAACGGAUUCUCUUAGAGUAUGGUGCUUCAGUAUCUGUUAGUAUUUGUUCAAGCUCAUCGCUCACUGUCUCAUGAUCAUCAUGGACAGAGAGUUUAAAGCUUAAUCUCGGAGGAU